rnacentral:rRNA from 1 species
CCUACGGGUGGCAGCAGUGGGGAAUAUUGCACAAUGGGCGAAACCCUGAUGCAGCGACGCCGCGUGAGUGAAGAAUUACUUCGUUACGUAAAGCUCUAUCAGUAGGGAAGAAAAUUACGGUAUCUGAGUAAGAAGCUCUGGCUAACUACGUGCCAGCAGCCGCGGGAAUACGUAGGGGGCAAGCGUUAUCCGGAUUUACUGGGGGUAAAGGGAGCGUAGAGGGUUCGCCAAGUCUGUAGUGAAAUGCCGCAGCUUAACUGCGGAACUGCUUUGGAAACUGGCGAACUAGAGUGCGGGAGGGGUGAGCGGAAUUCCUAGUGUAGCGGUGAAAUGCGUAGAUAUUAGGAGGAACACCGGUGGCGAAGGCGGCUUACUGGACCGUAACUGACGUUGAGGCUCGAAAGCGUGGGGAGCAAACAGGAUUAGAUACCCGAGUAGUC